UACGGGGGGGGCAAGCGUUGUUCGGAAUUACUGGGCGUAAAGGGCUCGUAGGCGGCCAACUAAGUCGGAUGUGAAAUCCCCAGGCUUAACCUGGGAACUGCAUCCGAUACUGGAUGGCUUGAAUCCGGGAGAGGGAUGCAGAAUUCCAGGUGUAGCGGUGAAAUGCGUAGAUAUCUGGAGGAAUACCGGUGGCGAAGGCGGCUACCUGGCCCACUCUUGACGCUGAGGCGCGAAAGCUAGGGGAGCAAACGGG
rnacentral:rRNA from 1 species